CAGGAUGAACGCUGGCGGCGUGCCUAAUACAUGCAAGUCGAGCGAAAUCCCUUGGAUUCGUCUGAGGAGGAAAGCGGCGAACGGGUGAGUAACACGUAGGUGACCUGCCCCGAAGACGGGAAUAACCGCUGGAAACGGCGGCUAAUACCCGAUGUGCUCGGUGAUUCGGUUCAUCGAGUAAAGCUCCGGCGCUUCGGGAUGGACCUGCGGCCUAUCAGCUAGUUGGUGGGGUAACGGCUCACCAAGGCUAAGACGGGUAGGGGGCGUGAGAGCGCGAUCCCCCACACUGGCACUGAGACACGGGCCAGACUCCUACGGGAGGCAGCAGUCGGGGAUAUUGCACAAUCGGCGAAAGCCGGAGGCAGCAACGCCGCGUGGAGGAAGAAGGUCUUCGGGUUGUAAACUCCUUUUCUGGGGGAAGAGAUAGGACGGUACCCUAGGAAUAAGUCUCGGCUAACUACGUGCCAGCAGCCGCGGUAAAACGUAGGAGGCGAGCGUUAUCCGGAUUUACUGGGCGUAAAGCGCGUGCAGGCGGUUUCUUAAGUCGGACGUGAAAGCUCCCGGCUCAACUGGGAGAGGUCGUUCGAAACUAGGAAACUUGAGGGUGGUAGAGGAGAGUGGAAUUCCCGGUGUAGUGGUGAAAUGCGUAGAUAUCGGGAGGAACACCAGUGGCGAAGGCGGCUCUCUGGGCCAUUCCUGACGCUAAGACGCGAAAGCUAGGGGAGAGAACGGGAUUAGAAACCCCGGUAUUCCUAGCCGUAAACGAUGUCAACUAGGUGUAGGGGGUAUCCAACCCCCCUGUGCUGCAGCUAACGCGUUAAGUUGACCGCCUGGGGACUACGGCCGCAAGGCUAAAACUCAAAGGAAUUGACGGGGACCCGCACAAGCAGCGGAGCGUGUGGUUUAAUUCGAGACUACGCGAAGAACCUUACCAGGGUUUGACAUGAUGGUGGUAGAGAAGUGAAAGCGGAUCGACCCUUCGGGGAGCCAUCACAGGUGCUGCAUGGCUGUCGUCAGCUCGUGCCGUGAGGUGUUAGGUUAAGUCCUGUAACGAGCGCAACCCUCGUCGCUAGUUAUACGUGUCUAACGAGACUGCCGGGAUAAGCCGGAGGAAGGUGAGGAUGACGUCAAGUCAGCAUGGCCUUUAUAUCCUGGGCUACACACACGCUACAAUGGCCGGUACAAUGGGUAGCAAGCCGCGAGGCGGAGCCAAUCCUCUAAAGCCGGUCUCAGUUCGGAUUGCAGGCUGCAACUCGCCUGCAUGAAGUCGGAGUUGCUAGUAACCGCGCGUCAGC
rnacentral:rRNA from 1 species